rnacentral:rRNA from 1 species
AGUGAACGCUGGCGGCGUGUUUAACACAUGCAAGUCGAACGAGAACGGAUUAUAGCUUGCUAUAAUUGUCAGCUAAGUGGCGCACGGGUGAGUAAUAUAUAGAUAACCUGCCCUAUAGAAAGGAAUAACAGUUGGAAACGACUGCUAAUGCCCUAUAUGCCUUUAAUACAUAAGUAUGCAAGGGAAACGCUUUAGUGCUAGAGGAUGGGUCUGUAUGGUAUCAGCCUGUUGGUGAGGUAAUGGCUCACCAAGGCUAUGACGCCUAACUGGUUUGAGAGGAUGAUCAGUCACACUGGACCUGAGACACGGUCCAGAUUCAUACGGGAGGCAGCAGUGGGGAAUAUUGCACAAUGGACGAAAGUCUGAUGCAGCAACGCCGCGUGGAGGAUGACACAUUUCGGUGCGUAAACUCCUUUUAUAUAGGAAGAUAAUGACGGUACUAUAUGAAUAAGCACCGGCUAACUCCGUGCCAGCAGCCGCCGUAAAAC